UUUAUGGAGAGUUUGAUCCUGGCUCAGGAUGAACGCUGGCGGCGUGCCUAAUACAUGCAAGUCGAGCGAACGGACGAGAAGCUUGCUUCUCUGAUGUUAGCGGCGGACGGGUGAGUAACACGUGGAUAACCUACCUAUAAGACUGGGAUAACUUCGGGAAANAGNAGNNAAUACCGGAUAAUAUUUUGAACCGCAUGGUUCAAAAGUGAAAGACGGUCUUGCUGUCACUUAUAGAUGGAUCCGCGCUGCAUUAGCUAGUUGGUAAGGUAACGGCUUACCAAGGCAACGAUGCAUAGCCGACCUGAGAGGGUGAUCGGCCACACUGGAACUGAGACACGGUCCAGACUCCUACGGGAGGCAGCAGUAGGGAAUCUUCCGCAAUGGGCGAAAGCCUGACGGAGCAACGCCGCGUGAGUGAUGAAGGUCUUCGGAUCGUAAAACUCUGUUAUUAGGGAAGAACAUAUGUGUAAGUAACUGUGCACAUCUUGACGGUACCUAAUCAGAAAGCCACGGCUAACUACGUGCCAGCAGCCGCGGUAAUACGUAGGUGGCAAGCGUUAUCCGGAAUUAUUGGGCGUAAAGCGCGCGUAGGCGGUUUUUUAAGUCUGAUGUGAAAGCCCACGGCUCAACCGUGGAGGGUCAUUGGAAACUGGAAAACUUGAGUGCAGAAGAGGAAAGUGGAAUUCCAUGUGUAGCGGUGAAAUGCGCAGAGAUAUGGAGGAACACCAGUGGCGAAGGCGACUUUCUGGUCUGUAACUGACGCUGAUGUGCGAAAGCGUGGGGAUCAAACAGGAUUAGAUACCCUGGUAGUCCACGCCGUAAACGAUGAGUGCUAAGUGUUAGGGNGNUNCCCNCCCCUUAGUGCUGCAGCUAACGCAUUAAGCACUCCGCCUGGGGAGUACGACCGCAAGGUUGAAACUCAAAGGAAUUGACGGGGACCCGCACAAGCGGUGGAGCAUGUGGUUUAAUUCGAAGCAACGCGAAGAACCUUACCAAAUCUUGACAUCCUUUGACAACUCUAGAGAUAGAGCCUUCCCCUUCGGGGGACAAAGUGACAGGUGGUGCAUGGUUGUCGUCAGCUCGUGUCGUGAGAUGUUGGGUUAAGUCCCGCAACGAGCGCAACCCUUAAGCUUAGUUGCCAUCAUUAAGUUGGGCACUCUAAGUUGACUGCCGGUGACAAACCGGAGGAAGGUGGGGAUGACGUCAAAUCAUCAUGCCCCUUAUGAUUUGGGCUACACACGUGCUACAAUGGACAAUACAAAGGGCAGCGAAACCGCGAGGUCAAGCAAAUCCCAUAAAGUUGUUCUCAGUUCGGAUUGUAGUCUGCAACUCGACUACAUGAAGCUGGAAUCGCUAGUAAUCGUAGAUCAGCAUGCUACGGUGAAUACGUUCCCGGGUCUUGUACACACCGCCCGUCACACCACGAGAGUUUGUAACACCCGAAGCCGGUGGAGUAACCUUUUAGGAGCUAGCCGUCGAAGGUGGGACAAAUGAUUGGGGUGAAGUCGUAACAAGGUAGCCGUAUCGGAAGGUGCGGCUGGAUCACCUCCUUU
rnacentral:rRNA from 1 species